UGAGCAGUGCACUUGCUCAGCAGCUAUUUCCUGAGCACUCGCUGGUGCCCUGCAACACAGCAGGAACAAGGAGCCUGCAUUCUAGUGGGCAGAGGCAGACAAUCAACAAGGAAGGAAUCAAGUAAACUGGGUAACUUAAUGUGGUGGGAGAGCUGUGGGUGGGCAGACGGGAACCCCUCUGUACCAUCGUCUUGAUUUUUCUGUAAAUCUAAACUGUUCUAAGAAAUAACGUCUAUUUAAAAAUUAAUGCAAAAAAAUCCAGGAACAUCUGAAAUAAAGGCAAGAUUGGACCCUGCACCUGCACAGCCGUGAGAAUGGCCCCGCCACGAGUCCGGCCCUGUGAGGACGACUUGCUUGUCAUAGAGCAUCUGGGAGGGGCAGCAGGAGUCAAGAAGGAAACAUAAAUCGCUCAGGGCCGCCCCCCAGAACCGACAGCUGCUAGCUUCUCAGGACAGUCUUCCGAGUCUGUUUUCUAGGCACGAAUCCAGCGCAUGAAUGCCAGUUUCCCCUCCGCACAAUCGAUAACUGCUGAUCAUCUGCGUGGAAUUGCCUCUGUGUCUAUAUAUGUUUGCAUUCUGCUUUUUUGUCACUUAACGUAGCAUCGUGAGCAUUUUUAUGUCAUUAAAUACCCUCCCCAAACAGCA